rnacentral:rRNA from 1 species
AUGGCAGGUGAAGAAAACGAGUAUGAUGUUCAAGGAAAUGGGCAUCUCAAUCAGCCCAUCACACGGUUUCACUUCAACGCAUUACGUGAUCAUCUACACCGAGAGUUCAGAAACAGCCUUGACCCAAUUGAAGAGAAGAAAGACAAGUUGUUGAGAGAUUUGGAGCAACUUAUGGGUAAUAUUGAUGAGAAACUCGCUCAGAACAUGGCAGCCAUGAGGACUGGUAUUGUUGCUGAUAUUGUGCGAGAGCUUCAUCAGAACCGAGAACAUGCAAGUGUCCAUGGUGAAGAACAAAAUGUAACUGAUGGGGAAGGUGCUGCCUCCAAUGCACAAGCUAGAAGAAACCGUGCUCCUGCUCCCCAUGCCAUGAGACCUCCUGGUCCCGAACAUGGAAAUGAUCAUGGUAAUGGACGUGGUCAUCAUGAAGCUGCUGCUGGUCGUGGUCUUAGAGGAGGCCACCGAAGAGCAAAUCUGCACCUUGAAGGUAGUGGGGAUGAGUUUGAUGAAGAUGAAGAUGGCAUGCACCAGAAUGACAGAUUUCAUCAUCGUAGAAACUAUGGUCGUGGACGGUAGGAGGAGGAGAGGUUUGGAAAGCUGAAAUUUACCAUGCCCAAGUUUGAUGGUGGAUAUUAUCUAGAAAGUUAUCUCACAUGGGAAUUGAAGGUUGACAAGAUUUUCCGCAUGCACAACUACUCUGAAGAGAAGAACUUAGCAAUGGCCUCACUUGAGUUUGAAGACUAUGCUCUAAUUUGGUGGGAGCAAGUUCAUAUUCAGUGA